GGCGAUGAAGGACGUGCUAAUCUGCGAUAAGCGUCGGUAAGGUGAUAUGAACCGUUAUAACCGGCGAUUUCCGAAUGGGGAAACCCAGUGUGAUUCGUCACACUAUCAUUAACUGAAUCCAUAGGUUAAUGAGGCGAACCGGGGGAACUGAAACAUCUAAGUACCCCGAGGAAAAGAAAUCAACCGAGAUUCCCCCAGUAGCGGCGAGCGAACGGGGAGCAGCCCAGAGCCUGAAUCAGUGUGUGUGUUAGUGGAAGCGUCUGGAAAGGCGUGCGAUACAGGGUGACAGCCCCGUACACAAAAAUGCACAUACUGUGAGCUCGAUGAGUAGGGCGGGACACGUGGUAUCCUGUCUGAAUAUGGGGGGACCAUCCUCCAAGGCUAAAUACUCCUGACUGACCGAUAGUGAACCAGUACCGUGAGGGAAAGGCGAAAAGAACCCCGGCGAGGGGAGUGAAAAAGAACCUGAAACCGUGUACGUACAAGCAGUGGGAGCACGCUUAGGCGUGUGACUGCGUACCUUUUGUAUAAUGGGUCAGCGACUUAUAUUCUGUAGCAAGGUUAACCGAAUAGGGGAGCCGAAGGGAAACCGAGUCUUAACUGGGCGUUAAGUUGCAGGGUAUAGACCCGAAACCCGGUGAUCUAGCCAUGGGCAGGUUGAAGGUUGGGUAACACUAACUGGAGGACCGAACCGACUAAUGUUGAAAAAUUAGCGGAUGACUUGUGGCUGGGGGUGAAAGGCCAAUCAAACCGGGAGAUAGCUGGUUCUCCCCGAAAGCUAUUUAGGUAGCGCCUCGUGAAUUCAUCUCCGGGGGUAGAGCACUGUUUCGGCAAGGGGGUCAUCCCGACUUACCAACCCGAUGCAAACUGCGAAUACCGGAGAAUGUUAUCACGGGAGACACACGGCGGGUGCUAACGUCCGUCGUGAAGAGGGAAACAACCCAGACCGCCAGCUAAGGUCCCAAAGUCAUGGUUAAGUGGGAAACGAUGUGGGAAGGCCCAGACAGCCAGGAUGUUGGCUUAGAAGCAGCCAUCAUUUAAAGAAAGCGUAAUAGCUCACUGGUCGAGUCGGCCUGCGCGGAAGAUGUAACGGGGCUAAACCAUGCACCGAAGCUGCGGCAGCGACGCUUAUGCGUUGUUGGGUAGGGGAGCGUUCUGUAAGCCUGUGAAGGUGUGCUGUGAGGUAUGCUGGAGGUAUCAGAAGUGCGAAUGCUGACAUAAGUAACGAUAAAGCGGGUGAAAAGCCCGCUCGCCGGAAGACCAAGGGUUCCUGUCCAACGUUAAUCGGGGCAGGGUGAGUCGACCCCUAAGGCGAGGCCGAAAGGCGUAGUCGAUGGGAAACAGGUUAAUAUUCCUGUACUUGGUGUUACUGCGAAGGGGGGACGGAGAAGGCUAUGUUGGCCGGGCGACGGUUGUCCCGGUUUAAGCGUGUAGGCUGGUUUUCCAGGCAAAUCCGGAAAAUCAAGGCCGAGGCGUGAUGACGAGGCACUACGGUGCUGAAGCAACAAAUGCCCUGCUUCCAGGAAAAGCCUCUAAGCAUCAGGUAACAUCAAAUCGUACCCCAAACCGACACAGGUGGUCAGGUAGAGAAUACCAAGGCGCUUGAGAGAACUCGGGUGAAGGAACUAGGCAAAAUGGUGCCGUAACUUCGGGAGAAGGCACGCUGAUACGUAGGUGAAGCGACUUGCUCGUGGAGCUGAAAUCAGUCGAAGAUACCAGCUGGCUGCAACUGUUUAUUAAAAACACAGCACUGUGCAAACACGAAAGUGGACGUAUACGGUGUGACGCCUGCCCGGUGCCGGAAGGUUAAUUGAUGGGGUUAGCGCAAGCGAAGCUCUUGAUCGAAGCCCCGGUAAACGGCGGCCGUAACUAUAACGGUCCUAAGGUAGCGAAAUUCCUUGUCGGGUAAGUUCCGACCUGCACGAAUGGCGUAAUGAUGGCCAGGCUGUCUCCACCCGAGACUCAGUGAAAUUGAACUCGCUGUGAAGAUGCAGUGUACCCGCGGCAAGACGGAAAGACCCCGUGAACCUUUACUAUAGCUUGACACUGAACAUUGAGCCUUGAUGUGUAGGAUAGGUGGGAGGCUUUGAAGUGUGGACGCCAGUCUGCAUGGAGCCGACCUUGAAAUACCACCCUUUAAUGUUUGAUGUUCUAACGUGGACCCGUGAUCCGGGUUGCGGACAGUGUCUGGUGGGUAGUUUGACUGGGGCGGUCUCCUCCUAAAGAGUAACGGAGGAGCACGAAGGUUGGCUAAUCCUGGUCGGACAUCAGGAGGUUAGUGCAAUGGCAUAAGCCAGCUUGACUGCGAGCGUGACGGCGCGAGCAGGUGCGAAAGCAGGUCAUAGUGAUCCGGUGGUUCUGAAUGGAAGGGCCAUCGCUCAACGGAUAAAAGGUACUCCGGGGAUAACAGGCUGAUACCGCCCAAGAGUUCAUAUCGACGGCGGUGUUUGGCACCUCGAUGUCGGCUCAUCACAUCCUGGGGCUGAAGUAGGUCCCAAGGGUAUGGCUGUUCGCCAUUUAAAGUGGUACGCGAGCUGGGUUUAGAACGUCGUGAGACAGUUCGGUCCCUAUCUGCCGUGGGCGCUGGAGAACUGAGGGGGGCUGCUCCUAGUACGAGAGGACCGGAGUGGACGCAUCACUGGUGUUCGGGUUGUCAUGCCAAUGGCACUGCCCGGUAGCUAAAUGCGGAAGAGAUAAGUGCUGAAAGCAUCUAAGCACGAAACUUGCCCCGAGAUGAGUUCUCCCUGACCCUUUAAGGGUCCUGAAGGAACGUUGAAGACGACGACGUUGAUAGGCCGGGUGUGUAAGCGCAGCGAUGCGUUGAGCUAACCGGUACUAAUGAACCGUGAGGCUUAACCUU
rnacentral:rRNA from 1 species